rnacentral:rRNA from 1 species
AAUGAACGCUGGCGGCAUGCCUUACACAUGCAAGUCGAACGGCAGCAUGACAUAGCCUGCUAGGUUGAUGGCGCGUGGCGCACGGGUGAGUAAUGCACCGGAACGUGUCUUUUAGCGGGGGAUAACGUAGCGAAAGAUACGCUCAUAUCGCAUAUUCUACGUGGAGGAAAGAAGAGGACCUUCUGGCCUUGCGCUCGAAGAGCGGACGAUGUCGGAUUAGCUAGUUGGUGGGGUAAAGGCUCACCAAGGCAACGAUCCGUAGCGGGUCUGAGAGGAUGAUCCGCCACACUGGAACUGAGACACGGCCCAGACUCCUACGGGAGGCAGCAGUGGGGAAUUUUGGACAAUGGGCGCAAGCCUGAUCCAGCCAUGCCGCGUGAGUGAAGAAGGCCUUCGGGUUGUAAAGCUCUUUCGGCUGGAAAGAAAACGCGCCCUCUAAUACAGGGUUGUGAUGACGGUACCAAAAGAAUAAGCACCGGCUAACUACGUG